GGUUGUAUAGUCUAGUGGUUAUGAUAUCUGCUUUACAAAAAGUGUAUAAUUUCGCAGAGGGUCCCAAGUUCGAACCUUGGUGCAGCCA